AUGGCCAUCAUUGCUGUCUAUCUCACCUCCAUCCGCCAACCCCUCAAAGGGUUGUGCAUCUCCAAGACUCACCGUGUGCCGACAUACUUUGGCCUUCUGCUACCUUCCCUAGUGCUUUCACUAUACUUCUUCACCCCCGACCCUCGUUUUGGUUCUCAGCAGCAGCACCAGUUUCCUCAGAAUGUUCUUCAUUGUUGUCCACCUCACCUCCAUCAGUCAACACCUACAAGUGUGAAGCACCAAGGCCCUUCUGCCUGCCCUUAUGCAUGUGUUGGCCUUCUGCUACCUUCUCGAGUGCUUUUGGUAUUCCUGAACGAGUGCAUGUCCAGUUGA
rnacentral:rRNA from 1 species